UUUUCCCAAAGUCGGUGUUGAAAUGCAUAAACAUUCGUUUCCUUCCGCUUCAAUCGGAAAUUCUAAAACGGUGUUCCGCCACUGCGCUGAGGGAUUCGGCGGAGCUGCAAGGAUUUGCAUGCGAAGGAUUUCGAGAGUGUGAUGGAUACACCAAGUCUCGGACACAAUGAGUCUGGCACUUGGUCUGGCACGACCAAUCGCCAUAGACCUUUCAAUCAGCUUUCAACUUCAUUGGGGCGAUGUCAGUUGCCAUUUAUGUUAUCUCCGGAAAUGCAGCGCGACCAAUCGCAACAACAGAACAUUUUUACAUUCUUUAUUUACGAGACUUGCACUCCGUGGCUGGCUCGUCUCGUAAAUAACACAACAUUUAUUAAUUA